rnacentral:rRNA from 1 species
AAGCAUAUAAGUAAGCGGAGGAUAAGAAACUAAAUAGGAUUCCCUCAGUAAUGGCGAAUGAACAGGGAUAAGCUCAGCUUGGAAAUUGGGCCCUCUGGGCUUGAAUUGUAGUCUUUCGAUGGCAUUGCCAGCGGAGGCGCAGAUGUAAGCCUCUUGGAAAAGAGCAUCAAUGAGGGUGAGAGUCCCGUUUGUCAUCUGCAGUCCUCUGUUUACGGUGUGCUUUCUAAGAGUCACGUUCCUUGGGAUUGGAGCGCAAAUUGGGUGGUAAAUUUCAUCUAAAGCUAAAUAUUGGUUCGAGACCGAUAGCAAACAAGUACCAUGAGGGAAAGGUGAAAAGGACUUUGAAAAGAGAGUUAAAAGUGCCUGAAAUUGCUGAAAGGGAAGCGAAUGGAACCAGUCUUCUUGGUGAGAUUGUUGUGCGCUAUUGUGAUUGCUUUCUGCUUCAACGCAAGUGUUGCAGUGGGUUUUGAGCAUGACGCGCACUUUGUUUCUCACCUCGUGUGUCAACGUCGGUUCAGAUUUGAGGAAAACUCUAGGGACAUGGUUAAUUACUCGCGAGUGAUUGAAUGUGCCUGGUAGAACUCAUGUCUAAACUGAUUUCCGCAUGUCUGGUCGCAGUGUUCUCAUUACCUGCGUCUGGGUUCGUGGCUUGUAGCUUCUGUUACUCGUCGCGGGCUUCUGGGCCUGGUCGUGGAGCAUCUCCCUGACAUUAGUACGAUGACAAAAUGGUUUCAUUCGACCCGUCUUGAAACACGGACCAAGG